rnacentral:rRNA from 1 species
ACGGGGAGGAGCCCAGAGCCUGAAUCAGCAUGUGUGUUAGUGGAAGCGUCUGGAAAGGCGCGCGAUACAGGGUGACAGCCCCGUACACAAAAGCGCAUGUGCUGUGAGCUCGAUGAGUAGGGCGGGACACGUGGUAUCCUGUCUGAAUAUGGGGGGACCAUCCUCCAAGGCUAAAUACUCCUGACUGACCGAUAGUGAACCAGUACCGUGAGGGAAAGGCGAAAAGAACCCCGGCGAGGGGAGUGAAAAAGAACCUGAAACCGUGUACGUACAAGCAGUGGGAGCCCCACCACUAAGCCAGUGGUGAACUCCACAUACGCAUCCUUUGCUGAGGAUACGGUUAACGGAGCGCAAGCGACGUUCAACCGCAAAAGAAGCAGAGGGGGCUUAGUGGUGGGGUGACUGCGUACCUUUUGUAUAAUGGGUCAGCGACUUAUAUUCUGUAGCAAGGUUAACCGAAUAGGGGAGCCGGAGGGAAACCGAGUCUUAAUUGGGCGUUAAGUUGCAGGGUAUAGACCCGAAACCCGGUGAUCUAGCCAUGGGCAGGUUGAAGGUUGGGUAACACUAACUGGAGGACCGAACCGACUAAUGUUGAAAAAUUAGCGGAUGACCUGUGGCUGGGGGUGAAAGGCCAAUCAAACCGGGAGAUAGCUGGUUCUCCCCGAAAGCUAUUUAGGUAGCGCCUCGUGAAUUCAUCUCCGGGGGUAGAGCACUGUUUCGGCUAGGGGGCCAUCCCGGCUUACCAACCCGAUGCAAACUGCGAAUACCGGAGAAUGUUAUCACGGGAGACACACGGCGGGUGCUAACGUCCGUCGUGAAGAGGGAAACAACCCAGACCGCCAGCUAAGGUCCCAAAGUCAUGGUUAAGUGGGAAACGAUGUGGGAAGGCCCAGACAGCCAGGAUGUUGGCUUAGAAGCAGCCAUCAUUUAAAGAAAGCGUAAUAGCUCACUGGUCGAGUCGGCCUGCGCGGAAGAUGUAACGGGGCUAAACCAU